rnacentral:rRNA from 1 species
UACGUAGGGGGCAAGCGUUGUCCGGAAUCAUUGGGCGUAAAGCGCGCGUAGGCGGCUCGGAAAGUCGGGCGUGAAAUGCCGGGGCUCAACCCCGGGACUGCGUCCGAUACUUCCGAGCUGGAGGUAGGUAGGGGAGAUCGGAAUUCCUGGUGUAGCGGUGAAAUGCGCAGAUAUCAGGAGGAACACCGGUGGCGAAGGCGGAUCUCUGGGCCUUACCUGACGCUGAGGCGCGAAAGCUAGGGGAGCGAACAGG